rnacentral:rRNA from 1 species
GACGAACGCUGGCGGCGUGCUUAACACAUGCAAGUCGAACGAAGUGGCGAACGGGUGAGUAACGCGUAAUCAACCUGCCCUUCAGCGGGGGACAACAGUUGGAAACGACUGCUAAUACCGCAUACUGAAGGAGGGGAUUGCGUCUGAUUAGCUAGUUGGAGGGGGAACGGCCCACCAAGGCGAUGAUCAGUAGGCGGGCUGGGAGGAAGAACGGCCAAAUUGGGACUGAGACACGGCCCAGACUCCUACGGGAGGCAGCAGUGGGGAAUCGUCCGCAAUGGAAGAAAGUCUGACGGAGCAACGCCGCGUGAGUGAUGACGGCCGUCGGGUUGUAAAGCUCUGUUAAUCGGGACGCGGUACCGGAAUAGAAAGCCACGGCUAACUACGUGCCAGCCGCCGCGGUAAUAC